rnacentral:lncRNA from 1 species
AUGCACCGUUUCUUUAAGACAGAAGCAUCUCAGCUUACGCACACAAAGCAAUGCACGCACGCAGACACACCAAAACACAUACCAAUCGACCCAGUUUCCCUUCAAACUGGUUUCUACCCACAACUGCCUUCUGAAAUCGAAUCCCUCCUUCCUCUUCCUCUGCUUCAUCUCCCUCCUCCCCUCCUCUUUUACCUCCUCCUCCUGCCUCCUGCCUUCGGCCUUCUCCUUCCCACCGCUCCUCCAUCCUCCCCCACCUCCUUCCCCCUCUGCCCCAUUCUCCCCCUCCCCAUCACCAGCACCACCACCACCGCCACCCCCGCCGCCACCACCACCAUUACCACCAACAACCCCACCUCCCUCACCUCUCCGUCCAUCCCUCUAUACUACCACCUCCUCCUCCCUUCCUUCUCCUCCUCCUCCUCCUCCUCGACCUCCCUCCCUCCCUCCUCCUGCUCCUCCACCUCUCUUUCCCCUCACCCCAUUCCUCUCCCUCCCUCCCUCCCUCCCUCCCUCCCUCCCUUCCUCCUCCUGCUCCUCCACCUCUCUUUCCCCUCACCCCAUUCCUCUCCCUCCCUCCACCUCCCUCCCUCCCUCCUCCUGCUCCUCCACCUCUCUUUCCCCUCACCCCAUUCCUCUCCCUCCCUCCCUCCCUCCCUCCCUCCCUCCCUCCUCCUGCUCCUCCACCUCUCUUUCCCCUCACCCCAUUCCUCUCCCUCCCUCCCUCCCUCCCUCCCUCCCUCCCUCCCUCCUCCUGCUCCUCCACCUCUCUUUCCCCUCACCCCAUUCCUCUCCCUCCCUCCCUCCCUCCCUCCCUCCCUCCCUCCCUCCCUCCCUUCCUCCUCCUGCUCCUCCACCUCUCUUUCCCCUCACCCCAUUCCUCUCCCUCCCUCCCUCCCUCCCUCCCUCCUCCUGCUCCUCCACCUCUCUUUCCCCUCACCCCAUUCCUCUCCCUCCCUCCCUCCCUCCCUCCCUCCCUCCUCCUGCUCCUCCCCCUCUCUUUCCCCUCACCCCAUUCCUCUCCCUCCCUCCCUCCCUCCCUUCCUCCUCCUGCUCCUCCACCUCUCUUUCCCCUCACCCCAUUCCUCUCCCUUCACUCCCUCCUCCUCCUUCUCAGAAUCCUCCUGGCCCUCCUAA